AAAGUCGUAACAAGGUUUCCGUAGGUGAACCUGCGGAAGGAUCAUUACAGAGUUCAUGCCCUUACGGGUAGAUCUCCCACCCUUGAAUACUAUACCUUUGUUGCUUUGGCGGGCCGCUUCGGCUACUGGCUCCGGCUGGUGAGUGCCCGCCAAAGGACCCCAAAACUCUGAAUAUUUGUGUCUGAGUACUAUGUAAUAGUUAAAACUUUCAACAACGGAUCUCUUGGUUCUG
rnacentral:misc_RNA from 1 species